UGGGGAAUAUUGGGCAAUGGGCGAAAGCCUGACCCAGCAACGCCGCGUGAGGGAAGAAGGUUUUCGGAUCGUAAACCUCUGUCCUUGGGGACGAAAGAAAUGACGGUACCCAAGGAGGAAGCCCCGGCUAACUACGUGCCAGCAGCCGCGGUAAUACGUAGGGGGCGAGCGUUGUCCGGAAUGAUUGGGCGUAAAGGGCGCGUAGGCGGCCUGUUAAGUCUGGAGUGAAAUUCCUGCUUUCAAGGUAGGAAGUGCUUUGGAAACUGGCGGGCUGGAGUGCAGGAGAGGUUAGCGGAAUUCCCGGUGUAGCGGUGAAAUGCGUAGAGAUCGGGAGGAACACCAGUGGCGAAGGCGGCCUGCUGGACAUUAACUGACGCUGAGGCGCGAAAGCGUGGGGAGCAAACAGG
rnacentral:rRNA from 2 species